GAACAAAGUGUACUGGUUGCAUGAUGUAGAGUAACAUACUCAACCCCGAACUUCAGCCGUUUUAUGCAUUGCACAGCAGGCACAUCUAUCAUAUUUGAACUGGGCUUUACUCCGUACACAGAUUUUAUUUUAAUGUUUGCCAAAGCAGCCAGAAUUUGUCUUUUGUCGAAUUGCUUUUGGUGGAGGUAACCUUAUAAGCAAAUGAUGAUUGAAUCCCUCGAGAUUCUAGCGGGCGCCACCACCUUAGAUCUAUUGGGAGAUGUCAAUAAUAACGACAAUUUCCCAGCUCCCAUAUACGUCUCAAGAUGUAAUUGUCAGGAGGCGAGGUUGAUACACCGAAACGUGGAAAACUUCGAGGAGAUUCGAAUGUAACUGUAGUACCUUUCAUCCAGGCCAUGGGGCAACAUUCAAUGAACAAAUGGAGAAACCAAGAUUUGUACGCAAAAACUGCAUUCCCGUUGAUUAAUUGUCAUAUUAUGAUUAAUUCUCCUCAUGAAGCGUGAGUGGCCAGCAAGUCAGUGAAGCUAGGACAAUUACAAUUCCUAGCAUUAAACAAAGCGCGAACCCAGUGGUCAGUGGUCAAUGGUCAAUGGUCAAUGGUCAAUGGUCAAUGGUCAAUAAACAUGCUAAAAAUUUGGCACAUUGGAAUACGAGUGACUAAUGCCGCCCGUCCAGCGGAUCGAGAUUAGGGGAUCUGGUGAAGAUUCGCUGGCCUCGGUCAACAUGCAUCCAGCAAGAAUGGGCGGGACGCUGGAGACCCGAGGGAACUUGCAUUCUUCAGCGAUGCAUCUCCAGUGGGAUAAAUACGAGGGUUCGCUCCUUACCUGAAGACGAUCGAUACUAAAAAUAGUCGAGAAACGGGACCGAAAUAUUACGAUCAAAGGCGCAUGCUAAAGAUACGCCUUCCGUAUGGUUGAGUGCAAAUUACGUGCUGAGAAACAGGAUAGCGUUCAUUUCCAAGUCAGACAGUUGCUUUGGAUCGGUUGACCAAAUGAAUUCAUGACCCGUGCGGGGGAAUAAAACAAACCUGG
rnacentral:sRNA from 2 species